rnacentral:rRNA from 3 species
ACGGGUGAGUAAUGCCUAGGAAUCUGCCUGGUAGUGGGGGGCAACGUUUCGAAAGGAACGCUAAUACCGCAUACGUCCUACGGGAGAAAGCAGGGGACCUUCGGGCCUUGCGCUAUCAGAUGAGCCUAGGUCGGAUUAGCUAGUUGGUGAGGUAAUGGCUCACCAAGGCGACGAUCCGUAACUGGUCUGAGAGGAUGAUCAGUCACACUGGAACUGAGACACGGUCCAGACUCCUACGGGAGGCAGCAGUGGGGAAUAUUGGACAAUGGGCGAAAGCCUGAUCCAGCCAUGCCGCGUGUGUGAAGAAGGUCUUCGGAUUGUAAAGCACUUUAAGUUGGGAGGAAGGGUUGUAGAUUAAUACUCUGCAAUUUUGACGUUACCGACAGAAUAAGCACCGGCUAACUCUGUGCCAGCAGCCGCGGUAAUACAGAGGGUGCAAGCGUUAAUCGGAAUUACUGGGCGUAAAGCGCGCGUAGGUGGUUCGUUAAGUUGGAUGUGAAAUCCCCGGGCUCAACCUGGGAACUGCAUUCAAAACUGUCGAGCUAGAGUAUGGUAGAGGGUGGUGGAAUUUCCUGUGUAGCGGUG